UCUGCGUUCGGCAAAAUAUACAUCAUGAUAUUCAGCAUCAUGCUAUCCUAUUGUGCAGUUGUUAUAUACAUUCAAAAAAUGAUGAAUCUGGGGCUGAAGCUGGUGCAAAUUGCACUAUUGUUCCCAAGUUGGAUCUUGGUAUUAUUUACUAACUAGUACAAUACAUUGACAUUGUAUAAAAUUACGACAAAUCAAAAUCUUUUCUAAAACCUAAUACAAAUACUUGCCAAAUGAAAUGAUAUUAUGAAACCGAGUUUCUAUCAAAGAAUUUUUAGGAGUAUCGAAAUGAAAUUUCAAUCUUUGUUGAAAUUUGCUCGAAA